GAGGAUGAAUAUGUGAUGGAAAGUCGUCAAGACACUGCAGCUUCAUGGGGGCCGCCAUGUCUAAGACGCGCGCAUGCGCAGUGAAACGAGAUAAACUGACCGCUCCUGGAUAAGCGGAGUCGCCACUGGGCGGGAGAUGUGCGCUGGGAACCAGAGCUCUUCAACACCGCUCCUACAGAGACCUGUGAUUGCCAAGCAGUCCUGAAGAGCUUGAUCAGCUGGUUCAGUUCCCCAGACUGUCCACCAGGGGCGUCCUUCAUCUCGAUGACUGAAACCUGCUCAGGGACUGUGCUGUGCAAACUGGAAAAUGACAUCUGUGAAAGCAUCUAAUCACUGAUAGAGGCACAGAGGUAAUACAGAUACAAAUAUAUAGGCAUCAUUCACUUUCUGACUUUG